UGUUAGUGGAAGCGUCUGGAAAGGCGUGCGAUACAGGGUGACAGCCCCGUACACAAAAAUGCACAUACUGUGAGCUCGAUGAGUAGGGCGGGACACGUGGUAUCCUGUCUGAAUAUGGGGGGACCAUCCUCCAAGGCUAAAUACUCCUGACUGACCGAUAGUGAACCAGUACCGUGAGGGAAAGGCGAAAAGAACCCCGGCGAGGGGAGUGAAAAAGAACCUGAAACCGUGUACGUACAAGCAGUGGGAGCACGCUUAGGCGUGUGACUGCGUACCUUUUGUAUAAUGGGUCAGCGACUUAUAUUCUGUAGCAAGGUUAACCGAAUAGGGGAGCCGAAGGGAAACCGAGUCUUAACUGGGCGUUAAGUUGCAGGGUAUAGACCCGAAACCCGGUGAUCUAGCCAUGGGCAGGUUGAAGGUUGGGUAACACUAACUGGAGGACCGAACCGACUAAUGUUGAAAAAUUAGCGGAUGACUUGUGGCUGGGGGUGAAAGGCCAAUCAAACCGGGAGAUAGCUGGUUCUCCCCGAAAGCUAUUUAGGUAGCGCCUCGUGAAUUCAUCUCCGGGGGUAGAGCACUGUUUCGGCAAGGGGGUCAUCCCGACUUACCAACCCGAUGCAAACUGCGAAUACCGGAGAAUGUUAUCACGGGAGACACACGGCGGGUGCUAACGUCCGUCGUGAAGAGGGAAACAACCCAGACCGCCAGCUAAGGUCCCAAAGUCAUGGUUAAGUGGGAAACGAUGUGGGAAGGCCCAGACAGCCAGGAUGUUGGCUUAGAAGCAGCCAUCAUUUAAAGAAAGCGUAAUAGCUCACUGGUCGAGUCGGCCUGCGCGGAAGAUGUAACGGGGCUAAACCAUGCACCGAAGCUGCGGCAGCGACGCUUAUGCGUUGUUGGGUAGGGGAGCGUUCUGUAAGCCUGUGAAGGUGUGCUGUGAGGUAUGCUGGAGGUAUCAGAAGUGCGAAUGCUGACAUAAGUAACGAUAAAGCGGGUGAAAAGCCCGCUCGCCGGAAGACCAAGGGUUCCUGUCCAACGUUAAUCGGGGCAGGGUGAGUCGACCCCUAAGGCGAGGCCGAAAGGCGUAGUCGAUGGGAAACAGGUUAAUAUUCCUGUACUUGGUGUUACUGCGAAGGGGGGACGGAGAAGGCUAUGUUGGCCGGGCGACGGUUGUCCCGGUUUAAGCGUGUAGGCUGGUUUUCCAGGCAAAUCCGGAAAAUCAAGGCCGAGGCGUGAUGACGAGGCACUACGGUGCUGAAGCAACAAAUGCCCUGCUUCCAGGAAAAGCCUCUAAGCAUCAGGUAACAUCAAAUCGUACCCCAAACCGACACAGGUGGUCAGGUAGAGAAUACCAAGGCGCUUGAGAGAACUCGGGUGAAGGAACUAGGCAAAAUGGUGCCGUAACUUCGGGAGAAGGCACGCUGAUACGUAGGUGAAGCGACUUGCUCGUGGAGCUGAAAUCAGUCGAAGAUACCAGCUGGCUGCAACUGUUUAUUAAAAACACAGCACUGUGCAAACACGAAAGUGGACGUAUACGGUGUGACGCCUGCCCGGUGCCGGAAGGUUAAUUGAUGGGGUUAGCGCAAGCGAAGCUCUUGAUCGAAGCCCCGGUAAACGGCGGCCGUAACUAUAACGGUCCUAAGGUAGCGAAAUUCCUUGUCGGGUAAGUUCCGACCUGCACGAAUGGCGUAAUGAUGGCCAGGCUGUCUCCACCCGAGACUCAGUGAAAUUGAACUCGCUGUGAAGAUGCAGUGUACCCGCGGCAAGACGGAAAGACCCCGUGAACCUUUACUAUAGCUUGACACUGAACAUUGAGCCUUGAUGUGUAGGAUAGGUGGGAGGCUUUGAAGUGUGGACGCCAGUCUGCAUGGAGCCGACCUUGAAAUACCACCCUUUAAUGUUUGAUGUUCUAACGUGGACCCGUGAUCCGGGUUGCGGACAGUGUCUGGUGGGUAGUUUGACUGGGGCGGUCUCCUCCUAAAGAGUAACGGAGGAGCACGAAGGUUGGCUAAUCCUGGUCGGACAUCAGGAGGUUAGUGCAAUGGCAUAAGCCAGCUUGACUGCGAGCGUGACGGCGCGAGCAGGUGCGAAAGCAGGUCAUAGUGAUCCGGUGGUUCUGAAUGGAAGGGCCAUCGCUCAACGGAUAAAAGGUACUCCGGGGAUAACAGGCUGAUACCGCCCAAGAGUUCAUAUCGACGGCGGUGUUUGGCACCUCGAUGUCGGCUCAUCACAUCCUGGGGCUGAAGUAGGUCCCAAGGGUAUGGCUGUUCGCCAUUUAAAGUGGUACGCGAGCUGGGUUUAGAACGUCGUGAGACAGUUCGGUCCCUAUCUGCCGUGGGCGCUGGAGAACUGAGGGGGGCUGCUCCUAGUACGAGAGGACCGGAGUGGACGCAUCACUGGUGUUCGGGUUGUCAUGCCAAUGGCACUGCCCGGUAGCUAAAUGCGGAAGAGAUAAGUGCUGAAAGCAUCUAAGCACGAAACUUGCCCCGAGAUGAGUUCUCCCUGACCCUUUAAGGGUCCUGAAGGAACGUUGAAGACGACGACGUUGAUAGGCCGGGUGUGUAAGCGCAGCGAUGCGUUGAGCUAACCGGUACUAAUGAACCGUGAGGCUUAACCUU
rnacentral:rRNA from 1 species